UACGGAGGAUGCAGGCGUUAUCCGGAUUUAUUAGGUUUAAAGGGUGCGUAGGCGGCCGGGUAAGUCAGCGUUGAAAGUCUGCGGCUCAACCGUAGAACUGGCAUUGAUACUGUCCGGCUUGGAUGCGGUGGAAGUAGGCGGAAUGUGCAGUGUAGCGGUGAAAUGCUUAGAUAUUGCACAGAACACCGAUUGCGAAGGCAGCUUACUAUACCGUUAUUGACGCUGAGGCACGAAAGCGCGGGUAU
rnacentral:rRNA from 1 species